UACGUAGGGUGCGAGCGUUGUCCGGAUUUAUUGGGCGUAAAGAGCUCGUAGGUGGUUUGUUGCGUCUGCCGUGAAAACCCGAGGCUUAACCUCGUGGCUUGCGGUGGAUACGGGCAGACUUGAGGUAGGUAGGGGAGAAUGGAAUUCCCGGUGUAGCGGUGAAAUGCGCAGAUAUCGGGAGGAACACCGGUGGCGAAGGCGGUUCUCUGGGCCUUACCUGACGCUGAGGAGCGAAAGCGUGGGGAGCGAACAGG
rnacentral:rRNA from 1 species